rnacentral:rRNA from 1 species
CUCUCUCAAACCCCCAGGGUUUGGUAUUGAGUGAUACUCUGUUUCCAGGGUUAACUUGAAAUAUCAGUUUGCGGCAAGAGUUUUGCAUCUCUGACUCUUGGUUGAGAUAAUGUAUUAGGUUUUACCAACUCGUUAUAGCAGCCUGGGAGGACACUUGGAGGUGCAAGGAAGCUCGGCCUAACAAUAUCUUCACAAAGU